rnacentral:lncRNA from 1 species
AGGUGUUUUGUUCCAAGGGAACUUGGAUCAGUGAUCAGUAAUCAAAGUUGAACCGGGAGAUAUGACAAGAAAAGAAAGAUUAUUUUCUACAAAACAGAAUCAUUUACAGUUGCUGUCUUGAAUCUUGUAAAGAAGGUUAGUUUAUAAAACGCCGAAUUAAUAGUUCCUGGCUGUUUUUAAUUUUAAAAAAUUUCCUGUGGUCUCCCUUUGCUGAGCACAGGUUGCCACUUGCCUGUGGUUGGCC